GCUCGCGUGGCGGAAUUGGCAGACGCGUACGGCUCAGGACCGUAUGGGGCAACCCGUGGAGGUUCGAGUCCUCUCGCGAGCACCA
rnacentral:tRNA from 1 species